UCCCUGGUGAUCCAGUGGUUAAGAUUCUGAGCUCCCAAUGCAGGGACCUGGGUUUGAUCCCUGGUCAGGGAA
rnacentral:tRNA from 1 species